rnacentral:rRNA from 1 species
CCCUUAGAUGUUCGGGGCCGCACGCGCGCUACACUGAAGGAAUCAGCACGUCUUUCUCCUUGUCCGAAAGGACUGGGUAACCCGCUGAACCUCCUUCGUGCUAGGGAUUGGGGCUUGUAAUUCUUCCCCAUGAACGAGGAAUUCCCAGUAAGCGCGAGUCAUAAGCUCGCGUUGAUUACGUCCCUGCCCUUUGUACACACCGCCCGUCGCUACUACCGAUUGGAUGGUUUAGUGAGAUCCUCGGAUUGGUCCCGGAGCGGCCUCUGGUCGUGCCGGAGUGCCGAAAAGAAUGUCGAACUUGAUCAUCUAGAGGAAGUAAAAGUCGGAACA